rnacentral:ncRNA from 2 species
CUUUUGCAGCAGAUUAUGGGUGCCCAAUGCUAGUCUCUGUACUGGCCCGACGGCUUAAUAGGGAACAUCGGUGAAACCAGACAUGGUCAAUCCGGGGCUGUCCCCGCAACUGUAACGCUCUUAGUACAAGCCGAUUGAUCUACAUCGCCACUGGAUUCAUGCAGUCUGGGAAGGUGCAAAUCGGUGAGCGAAGCCAGGAGACCUACCCCUAAUUCGCUGCUGCA